rnacentral:rRNA from 1 species
AUGAACGCUGGCGGCGUGGAUAAGGCAUGCAAGUCAAGGGGGCUUUCGUAGCAAUACGAGAGUCACCGGCGAACGAGUUAGUAAUACCUUGGUACGUACCCCAAAGUCUGGCAUAACCCCGCGAAAGCGGGACUAAUUCCAGAUGGUAUGGAAACAUUAAAGAAGUAAUUCGCUUUGGGAGCGGCCUAGGUCCUAUCAGCUUGUUGGUGAGGUAACGGCUCACCAAGGCUAUGACGGGUAGGGGGUGUGAGAGCACGACCCCCAACGACGAGACUGAGAACGGCUCGUACACCUACGGGUGGCAGCAGUCAAGAACAUUCGACAAUGGGCGAAAGCCUGAUCGAGCGACGCCGCGUGCAGGAAGAAGGCCUUCGGGUUGUAAACUGCUUUUGCGUGGGAAGAAUCCCGCUUAUGCGGGAGUGACGGUACCACGAGAAUAAGGGGUUGCUAACUCUGU